CACUCCUGCGGGAGGCAGCAGUGGGGAAUAUUGCACAAUGGGCGCAAGCCUGAUGCAGCCAUGCCGCGUGUAUGAAGAAGGCCUUCGGGUUGUAAAGUACUUUCAGCGGGGAGGAAGGCGAUAAGGUUAAUAACCUUGUUGAUUGACGUUACCCGCAGAAGAAGCACCGGCUAACUCCGUGCCAGCAGCCGCGGUAAUACGGAGGGUGCAAGCGUUAAUCGGAAUUACUGGGCGUAAAGCGCACGCAGGCGGUCUGUCAAGUCGGAUGUGAAAUCCCCGGGCUCAACCUGGGAACUGCAUUCGAAACUGGCAGGCUAGAGUCUUGUAGAGGGGGGUAGAAUUCCAGGUGUAGCGGUGAAAUGCGUAGAGAUCUGGAGGAAUACCGGUGGCGAAGGCGGCCCCCUGGACAAAGACUGACGCUCAGGUGCGAAAGCGUGGGGAGCAAACAGGAUUAGAUACCCGGGUAGUCCCAUG
rnacentral:rRNA from 1 species